rnacentral:rRNA from 1 species
AGUGAACGCUGGCGGUAGGCCUAACACAUGCAAGUCGAACGGCAGCACAGUAAGAGCUUGCUCUUACGGGUGGCGAGUGGCGGACGGGUGAGGAAUACAUCGGAAUCUACUUUUUCGUGGGGGAUAACGUAGGGAAACUUACGCUAAUACCGCAUACGACCUACGGGUUAAAGCAGGGGAUCUUCGGACCUUUCGCGAUUGAAUGAGCCGAUGUCGGAUUAGCUUGUUGGCGGGGUAAAGGCCCACCAAGGCGACGAUCCGUAGCUGGUCUGAGAGGAUGAUCAGCCACACUGGAACUGAGACACGGUCCAGACUCCUACGGGAGGCAGCAGUGGGGAAUAUUGGACAAUGGGCGCAAGCCUGAUCCAGCCAUACCGCGUGGGUGAAGAAGGCCUUCGGGUUGUAAAGCCCUUUUGUUGGGAAAGAAAAGCAGCAGGUUAAUACCCCGCUGUUCUGACGGUACCCAAAGAAUAAGCACCGGCUAACUUCGUG